rnacentral:rRNA from 1 species
GCUGGCGGCGUGCCUAAUACAUGCAAGUCGAGCGAACAGAUAAGGAGCUUGCUCCUUUGACGUUAGCGGCGGACGGGUGAGUAACACGUGGAUAACCUACCUAUAAGACUGGGAUAACUUCGGGAAACCGGAGCUAAUACCGGAUAAGAUUUUGAACCGCAUGGUUCAAUAGUGAAAGACGGCCUUGCUGUCACUUAUAGAUGGAUCCGCGCCGUAUUAGCUAGUUGGUAAGGUAACGGCUUACCAAGGCAACGAUACGUAGCCGACCUGAGAGGGUGAUCGGCCACACUGGAACUGAGACACGGUCCAGACUCCUACGGGAGGCAGCAGUAGGGAAUCUUCCGCAAUGGGCGAAAGCCUGACGGAGCAACGCCGCGUGAGUGAUGAAGGUCUUCGGAUCGUAAAACUCUGUUAUCAGGGAAGAACAAACGUGUAAGUAACUGUGCACGUCUUGACGGUACCUGAUCAGAAAGCCACGGCUAACUACGUGCCAGCAGCCGCGGUAAUACGUAGGUGGCAAGCGUUAUCCGGAAUUAUUGGGCGUAAAGCGCGCGUAGGCGGUUUUUUAAGUCUGAUGUGAAAGCCCACGGCUCAACCG